AGUGAACGCUGGCGGUAGGCCUAACACAUGCAAGUCGAACGGCAGCACAGUAAGAGCUUGCUCUUACGGGUGGCGAGUGGCGGACGGGUGAGGAAUACAUCGGAAUCUACUUUUUCGUGGGGGAUAACGUAGGGAAACUUACGCUAAUACCGCAUACGACCUACGGGUGAAAGCAUGGGAUCUUCGGACCUUGCGCGUUUGAAUGAGCCGAUGUCGGAUUAGCUAGUUGGCGGGGUAAAGGCCUACCAAGGCGACGAUCCGUAGCUGGUCUGAGAGGAUGAUCAGCCACACUGGAACUGAGACACGGUCCAGACUCCUACGGGAGGCAGCAGUGGGGAAUAUUGGACAAUGGGCGCAAGCCUGAUCCAGCCAUACCGCGUGGGUGAAGAAGGCCUUCGGGUUGUAAAGCCCUUUUGUUGGGAGAGAAAAGCAGCAGGUUAAUACCCCGCUGUUCUGACGGUACCCAAAGAAUAAGCACCGGCUAACUUCGUG
rnacentral:rRNA from 1 species